UGGGGAAUAUUGGACAAUGGGCGCAAGCCUGAUCCAGCCAUGCCGCGUGUGUGAAGAAGGCCUUUUGGUUGUAAAGCACUUUAAGCGAGGAGGAGGAUACUUGGAUUAAUACUCUAGGAAAGUGGACGUUACUCGCAGAAUAAGCACCGGCUAACUCUGUGCCAGCAGCCGCGGUAAUACAGAGGGUGCGAGCGUUAAUCGGAUUUACUGGGCGUAAAGCGUGCGUAGGCGGCUUUGUAAGUCGGAUGUGAAAUCCCUGAGCUUAACUUAGGAAUUGCAGUCGAUACUGGGAAGCUAGAGUAUGGGAGAGGAUGGUAGAAUUCCAGGUGUAGCGGUGAAAUGCGUAGAGAUCUGGAGGAAUACCGAUGGCGAAGGCAGCCAUCUGGCCUAAUACUGACGCUGAGGUACGAAAGCAUGGGGAGCAAACAGG
rnacentral:rRNA from 1 species